ACAUGCAAGUCGAACGAACCUUCGGGUUAGUGGCGGACGGGUGAGUAACGCGUGGGAAUCUGCCCUCAGGAGGGGGAUAACGGCUGGAAACGGCCGCUAAUACCCCAUAUGCCGAGAGGUGAAAUGAAUUUCGCCUGAGGAUGAGCCCGCGUCUGAUUAGCUAGUUGGUGUGGUAAUGGCUCACCAAGGCUUCGAUCAGUAGCUGGUCUGAGAGGAUGAUCAGCCACACUGGGACUGAGACACGGCCCAGACUCCUACGGGAGGCAGCAGUGGGGAAUUUUCCGCAAUGGGCGAAAGCCUGACGGAGCAACGCCGCGUGAGGGAUGAAGGCCUCUGGGCUGUAAACCUCUUUUUUCAAGGAAGAAGACCUGACGGUACUUGAAGAAUAAGCCACGGCUAAUUCCGUGCCAGCAGCCGCGGUAAUACGGGAGUGGCAAGCGUUAUCCGGAAUUAUUGGGCGUAAAGCGUCCGCAGGCGGCCCUGAAAGUCUGUCGUUAAAGCGUGGAGCUCAACUCCAUUUAAGCGAUGGAAACUACAGGGCUAGAGUGUGGUAGGGGCAGAGGGAAUUCCCGGUGUAGCGGUGAAAUGCGUAGAUAUCGGGAAGAACACCAGUGGCGAAGGCGCUCUGCUGGGCCAUAACUGACGCUCAUGGACGAAAGCCAGGGGAGCGAAAGGGAUUAGAUACCCCUGUAGUCCUGGCCGUAAACGAUGAACACUAGGUGUCGGGGGAAUCGACCCCCUCGGUGUCGUAGCCAACGCGUUAAGUGUUCCGCCUGGGGAGUACGCACGCAAGUGUGAAACUCAAAGGAAUUGACGGGGGCCUGCACAAGCGGUGGAGUAUGUGGUUUAAUUCGAUGCAACGCGAAGAACCUUACCAGGGUUUGACAUCCUGCGAAUCCCUUGGAAACGAGGGAGUGCCUUCGGGAGCGCAGAGACAGGUGGUGCAUGGCUGUCGUCAGCUCGUGUCGUGAGAUGUUGGGUUAAGUCCCGCAACGAGCGCAACCCACGUCGUUAGUUGCCAGCACUCAGUUGGGCACUCUAGCGAGACCGCCGGUGAUAAACCGGAGGAAGGUGUGGAUGACGUCAAGUCAUCAUGCCCCUUACAUCCUGGGCUACACACGUACUACAAUGCUACGGACAAAGGGCAGCAAGCUCGCGAGAGUUAGCAAAUCCCAUAAACCGUGGCUCAGUUCAGAUCGUAGGCUGCAACUCGCCUACGUGAAGGAGGAAUCGCUAGUAAUCGCAGGUCAGCAUACUGCGGUGAAUACGUUCCCGGGCCUUGUACACACCGCCCGUCACACCAUGGAAGUUGGCCACGCCCGAAGUCGUUACUCCAACCC
rnacentral:rRNA from 1 species